rnacentral:rRNA from 1 species
GCGUGGUAGGAGAGCGUUCUGUAAGCCUGUGAAGGUGUCUUGUAAAGGAUGCUGGAGGUAUCAGAAGUGCGAAUGCUGACAUGAGUAGCGAUAAAGGGGGUGAAAGGCCCCCUCGCCGUAAGCCCAAGGUUUCCUACGCAACGUUCAUCGGCGUAGGGUGAGUCGGCCCCUAAGGCGAGGCAGAGAUGCGUAGCUGAUGGGAAGCAGGUUAAUAUUCCUGCACCGUCGUAUGAUGCGAUGGGGGGACGGAUCGCGGAAGGUUGUCCGGGUGUUGGAAGUCCCGGUCCCUGUAUUGGAGAAGGCGCUCAGGCAAAUCCGGGCGCGGAAUUCAAGAGUAUGGGGCGAGCGGCCUUGAGCUGCGAAGCAAUCGGAAGUGGUUCCAAGAAAAGCCUCUAAGCUUCAGUCAUACGAGACCGUACCGCAAACCGACACAGGUGGGCGAGAUGAGUAUUCUAAGGCGCUUGAGAGAACUCGGGAGAAGGAACUCGGCAAAUUGGUACCGUAACUUCGGGAUAAGGUACGCCCUGGUAGCUUGACUGGCCUGCGCCAGAAGGGUGAAGGGGUUGCAAUAAAAUGGUGGCUGCGACUGUUUAAUAAAAACACAGCACUCUGCAAACACGAAAGUGGACGUAUAGGGUGUGACGCCUGCCCGGUGCCGGAAGAUUAAAUGAUGGGGUGCAAGCUCUUGAUUGAAGUCCCGGUAAACGGCGGCCGUAACUAUAACGGUCCUAAGGUAGCGAAAUUCCUUGUCGGGUAAGUUCCGACCUGCACGAAUGGCGUAACGAUGGCCACACUGUCUCCUCCCGAGACUCAGCGAAGUUGAAGUGUUUGUGAUGAUGCAAUCUCCCCGCGGCUAGACGGAAAGACCCCAUGAACCUUUACUGUAGCUUUGCAUUGGACUUUGAACCGAUCUGUGUAGGAUAGGUGGGAGGCUUUGAAGCGUGGACGCUAGUUCACGUGGAGCCGUCCUUGAAAUACCACCCUGGUUUGUUUGAGGUUCUAACCUUGGCCCGUGAAUCCGGGUCGGGGACAGUGCAUGGUAGGCAGUUUGACUGGGGCGGUCUCCUCCCAAAGUGUAACGGAGGAGUUCGAAGGUACGCUUGGUACGGUCGGACAUCGUACCUAAAGUGCAAUGGCAAAAGCGUGCUUAACUGCGAGACCGACAAGUCGAGCAGGUGCGAAAGCAGGACAUAGUGAUCCGGUGGUUCUGAAUGGAAGGGCCAUCGCUCAACGGAUAAAAGGUACUCUGGGGAUAACAGGCUGAUACCGCCCAAGAGUUCAUAUCGACGGCGGUGUUUGGCACCUCGAUGUCGGCUCAUCUCAUCCUGGGGCUGUAGCCGGUCCCAAGGGUAUGGCUGUUCGCCAUUUAAAGAGGUACGUGAGCUGGGUUUAAAACGUCGUGAGACAGUUUGGUCCCUAUCUGCCGUGGGCGUUGGAAUCUUGACGGGGGCUGCUCCUAGUACGAGAGGACCGGAGUGGACGUACCGCUGGUGUACCUGUUGUCUCGCCAGAGGCAUCGCAGGGUAGCUAUGUACGGAAGAGAUAACCGCUGAAAGCAUCUAAGCGGGAAACUCGCCUGAAGAUGAGGAUUCCCUGGAGGCUUGACCUCCUUGAAGGGUCGUUCGAGACCAGGACGUUGAUAGGCUGGGUGUGGAAGCGCAGUAAUGCGUUAAGCUAACCAGUACUAAUUGCCCGUAAGGCUUGAUCCU